CAUAACUGGACCUUCCAGGUGAAAAAGACAGGUGACGAAUGUUGGACUUGUCCAAUAAAUUUGCCUGCAUUUAAAAAUCCAAUCAAUAUCUGAUGAAUAGAACCAAGACCCUAUCCUACAUUUUUUCUUUAUUGAUAAUCUGUUACAGUCAGACGCAUGUCACACUAUGGAAGAAAAGAUCUGUCACUACUUCUGUUUCACCAUGACUAAGGACUAUUUGACUGAAUGGUUUGUUAAAAGGAAUAAAUGUUUGUUUUUUUAUAUUUCAGUUUGCUCAUCAUAUACUGUACAUUGAUCAGCCUCAACAUUAAAACCACUGACAGAGAGCCUGAUGCUGGGUACAGAGAUGGAUCUGCAGCUGAUGGAGGGCACAGUUGUGGCCUUGGAGAACUCUCUUAAAAUGUGGCUACAUGACCAUGGCGGAGACCGAGAACACCUGCGAUUGUUGUUACCCCCUCUCUCACAUAACAGGGUUCUACACCACACCCUGCCGACAACAGGCCAAGCCCAGUCUGUUUGAAGUGCAACAUGCAGGAGAGACUUCUCAGCCCAGCCCUACUGACCUUGGAGUGAAGACUGAGAGCAUGCAAGAUUUCCAGCCCCCAAACAAAAGUCUGGCCAAUCAGAACCCCUCAUCGCAGUGUCUAAGAGUUGUCAAGUACAGUCAAGUCUAUAGUUACAUUUUGUUUUACCAGCAAAGCUGUAAGCAAAUGUCAAUAGAUUAGCCUUAAACAUGACUGACAUUUUUUGUGAACAGGAUUUUAUCACAGAGUUCCCAGACUGCUGUGAUGUUGUACUGUAUAUUUCCAUAUAUCACAGAUCUAGGAAAGUCCACAAUAGUAAUGUUCAUAUAUAUUCAACAGGAACACAAAAACUCAAUUUGAAUGUGGCCUCUGAAACAUGGUUAAUGUACAUGUAUGAAGGGGAGAAGAAAAAAUGAACUAUGCAAAAGUCAAUAUGAUGGAGUCAGGUUUUUAUCGAACAAACAGCUCAGUGUGUGAGUCUUCUGUCUGCCACACAGAGUCAUACAUUGUAUUCCCCUUGAGUGUUUUGCAUAUGAUUUUCAUGCACAUGAGGUCAUUCUUCCAAGCACUGUGAUACAAUCAUACUACUUGUCCCCACCUAGUCAUUAUGGGCCAAUAUGACAUAUACUUGCAUAAUUCCCUUUCACACAUGUUUGUCUUUGUCAGUUUUACU